rnacentral:rRNA from 1 species
AUUGAACGCUGGCGGCAUGCUUUACACAUGCAAGUCGAACGGUAACAGGCCGCAAGGUGCUGACGAGUGGCGAACGGGUGAGUAAUGCAUCGGAACGUGCCCAGUCGUGGGGGAUAACGCAGCGAAAGCUGUGCUAAUACCGCAUACGAUCUGUGGAUGAGAGCGGGGGACCGUAAGGCCUCGCGCGAUUGGAGCGGCCGAUGUCAGAUAGGUAGUUGGUGGGGUAAAGGCGCCCCAAGCCGACGAUCUGGAGCUGGUCUGAGAGGACGACCAGCCAAACUGGGACUGAGACACGGCCCAGACUCCUACGGGAGGCAGCAGUGGGGAAUUUUGGACAAUGGGCGCAAGCCUGAUCCAGCAAUGCCGGGUGCAGGAAGAAGGCCUGCGGGUUGUAAACUGCUUUUGUACGGAACGAAACGGUCCUGGUUAAUACCCGGGGCUAAUGACGGUACCGUAAGAAUAAGCACCGGCUAACUACGUGCCAGCCGCCGCGGUAACAC